UACGGGGGGAGCAAGCGUUGUUCGGAUUUACUGGGCGUAAAGGGCGCGUAGGCGGUCAGCACAAGUCAGUUGUGAAAUCUCCGGGCUUAACUCGGAAAGGUCAACUGAUACUGUGCGACUAGAGUGCAGAAGGGGCAACUGGAAUUCUCGGUGUAGCGGUGAAAUGCGUAGAUAUCGGGAGGAACACCUGCGGCGAAGGCGGGUUGCUGGGCUGACACUGACGCUGAUGCGCGAAAGCCAGGGGAGCGAACGGG
rnacentral:rRNA from 1 species